CACACCAACGUUAAGAUUCUGUUCAGACAUACAGUCUCUUACAGCUCUAAAAAUUCAGUUCAUGACCCAGUUAUGGGAGAGAAAUGAAAGAUGUUGCAGUUUGCCCAACUCCACAGAGCAGGAAUGCAGAGUAUUGAUACAGGUUCCUGGUUGUGAUCAGGCACCAUAUCAUGAGCAGUUAAUGUCAGGUUACCUAGUCUCUGUGAAAAGACACUAAGUAUUCUACUUAACACCCUCCUGUGGACUGACCACUGCAUUAAUCAUAUACGAAUGUUAAUUACCAUUGCUAAAGUAAAAUAACCCCAAAAUAUGCAAGCCUUCAAUCAAAGCCUCACAAAUUAGCAAAAGAAAUAAGAAAACAAAAAAGGUCCUAUCACUGGUCACCAGAGAGAAGAUGUUACCUUGCUUUGGUCUGCCUCCAGACCUGCUCCAUGAAUAAGCAUGCCAGACACCUUCCCUGAUUCUCCCCAAACCUUUUUCCUGCACCUGGGAAACAGCCAGGAUCCUGACAUUACCGAUGGCUCUCAUCGACUUCAUUUGACAAGAAUGUAGCUCUUCAAUUUUUCCACUCCGAAGAGGGAUGCUGCCUGCUUUUAACACAUAAAAAGAGCACUAUUCUUAUUCCGUGUAUUAUCAGAUCUCAUCUUGAUCACCCGAGCAGGUCCAAAUCCUCAGCCAAAACAAGAGGAAGCAACUCUUUAAGGCCGGGAGGGUCUUUCACCGCCCCGCGUGCGCCGGUGCUCGUUCACAGCAAGCGCUGCCAUCUGGUGGCAUCUGGGAGAAUGGCAGCCCCGACUUCAGCGGCACGUCAGGGAACACUGAUACGAUUGCUCCUUUAAAGACCGUAGCAGUGGCCUGAAUUGAUACCCAGUGGAAUAUAUAAUCGAAUCCCUCAUUAUAAGCAUAAGCUAGAAGUAUCAAUACCCUUCCAAGACACUCGUGAUAAUGUAUUUAUAUUCCUGGCAGGAAACUUGAGUCAGUUCAGCAAGUUUCUACUGCAAAUCUGAUAUGGAUGGUUGGCCUGAACUCCAGGGGACAAACUCUAAAGAUAGAACAGGUGGACAGGGUUUCUGCAUGCGGAAAACUGGAUGCCAGAACUUGGAUAAUUCUGUAAUUUCUCCUAGAUUAGUCACAGACAAAGCCAAGUCAUUUGACUGACUUCAUAUUGUCAGUAUGAAAUUAUUUUGUUGACACAGAUUUAGGCUGUAAAUGAGUGCUCAAAGAUUAGUGCGUGCCUUUCCAAUGAAUU